rnacentral:rRNA from 1 species
AUUGAACGCUGGCGGCAUGCUUUACACAUGCAAGUCGAACGGUAACAGGUUAAGCUGACGAGUGGCGAACGGGUGAGUAAUGCAUCGGAACGUGCCCGAUCGUGGGGGAUAACGUAGCGAAAGCUACGCUAAUACCGCAUACGAUCUGAGGAUGAAAGCGGGGGACCGUAAGGCCUCGCGCGAUCGGAGCGGCCGAUGUCAGAUUAGGUAGUUGGUGGGGUAAAGGCCCACCAAGCCGACGAUCUGUAGCUGGUCUGAGAGGACGACCAGCCACACUGGGACUGAGACACGGCCCAGACUCCUACGGGAGGCAGCAGUGGGGAAUUUUGGACAAUGGGCGCAAGCCUGAUCCAGCAAUGCCGCGUGCAGGAAGAAGGCCUUCGGGUUGUAAACUGCUUUUGUACGGAGCGAAAAGGCUCUCUCUAAUACAGGGGGCUCAUGACGGUACCGUAAGAAUAAGCACCGGCUAACUACGUGCCAGCCGCCGCCGUAAAAC